rnacentral:rRNA from 1 species
AGCAGCCGCGGUAAUUCCAGCUCCAAUAGCGUAUAUUAAAGUUGUUGCAGUUAAAAAGCUCGUAGUUGAAUUUCGGGGUUAGUAGGCUGGUCGUGCCACCGGUACGUACUGGUCUUACUGAUUCCUCCUUCCUGAUGAACUGUAAUGCCAUUAAUUUGGUGUUGCAGGGAAUCUGGACUGUUACUUUGAAAAAAUUAGAGUGUUUAAAGCAGGCUAACGCUUGAAUACAUUAGCAUGGAAUAAUGAAAUAGGACGCUCGAUCCUAUUUUGUUGGUUUCUAGGAUUGACGUAAUGAUUAAUAGGGAUAGUUGGGGGCAUUAGUAUUCAAUUGUCAGAGGUGAAAUUCUUGGAUUUAUUGAAGACUAACUACUGCGAAAGCAUUUGCCAAGGAUGUUUUCAUUAAUCAAGAACGAAAGUUAGGGGAUCGAAGACGAUCAGAUACCGUCGUAGUCUUAACCAUAUACUAUGCCGACUAGGGAUCGGAUGAUGUUAAUUUUUUAAUGACUCAUUCGGCGCCUUACG